rnacentral:rRNA from 1 species
GACGAACGCUGGCGGCGUGCCUAACACAUGCAAGUCGAACGAGGUCCAUCCUUCGGGAGAAGACCUAGUGGCGAACGGGUGAGUAACACGUGAAGAACCUGCCCCGAAGACCGGGAUAACCCUCCGAAAGGAGAGCUAAUACCGGAUACCCCCACCGAACCGCAUGGUUUGGUGAGGAAAUGGAUUCCGCUUCGGGAGGGCUUCGCGGCCUAUCAGCUAGUUGGUGGGGUAACGGCCCACAAGGCAUCGACGGGUAGCUGGGUCUGAGAGGACGAUCAGCCACACUGGGACUGAGACACGGCCCAGACUCCUACGGGAGGCGGCAGUGGGGAAUCUUGCGCAAUGGGCGAAAGCCUGACGCAGCAACGCCGCGUGGGGGAUGAAGGCUCUCGGGUUGUAAACCCCUUUCAGCAGGGACGAAUCAAGACGGUACCUGCAGAAGAAGCCCCGGCUAACUACGUGCCAGCAGCCGCGGUAAU